GAGUUUGAUCCUGGCUCAGGACGAACGCUGGCGGCGUGCCUAACACAUGCAAGUCGAACGGAGUUGAAAGGAGCUUGCUUUUUUCAACUCAGUGGCGGACGGGUGAGUAACGCGUGAGUAACCUGCCUUUCAGAGGGGGAUAACGUUCUGAAAAGAACGCUAAUACCGCAUAAGAUUGUAGUUUCGCAUGGAGCAGCAAUCAAAGGAGCAAUCCGCUGAAAGAUGGACUCGCGUCCGAUUAGAUAGUUGGCGGGGUAACGGCCCACCAAGUCGACGAUCGGUAGCCGGACUGAGAGGUUGAUCGGCCACAUUGGGACUGAGACACGGCCCAGACUCCUACGGGAGGCAGCAGUGAGGGAUAUUGGGCAAUGGGGGAAACCCUGACCCAGCAACGCCGCGUGAGGGAUGACGGUUUUCGGAUUGUAAACCUCUGUCCUCUGUGAAGAUAGUGACGGUAGCAGAGGAGGAAGCUCCGGCUAACUACGUGCCAGCCGCCGCGGUAAUAC
rnacentral:rRNA from 1 species